AUUCCCCCAUCUAACACCGGGGUGUGCUGCCUGUCCAGCAGCAGUCCUGGCUCUUUCACGGGGACAAAGUAACGUGCACUCUUUCCUCCCUGGAGGACCCCUAUUCCUCUUCAGGGCCCCAGAGAGGCCGACAGU